UGGCAUGGUCAGUAGUCAACGUUAACACAGCUUAGUGCUGUGUGACUUCAAGUUGAGUGUCAAACUGGCCCGCACUAAAAAUGUAAACCUAAACUUGUUUUUACGACCCCCAGCUUACCUACUCUUGCCCUCUGAGGCUAUUGAAGAUGCACUGAACAACAUCCUUAAGAAAAUUCCUGUGACUCAUCAACAGACUUGUGCUACAUAUUUUUUUAGAAUUGCCCAACAGAUUACCAGCAAACAUAAAGAUGAUGAAUAUUAUCUUAGAUGGGAUCCUGAUACAGCAGGAAUCAUUCAUCCUAGAAACAUCAUUCAGAUUGUAGAGCUGUAUCUGCAAGCUUUGUUACAGUUAUCCACCACGUUAGAGUGUUCGCAUUUAAUGGUGCAGAAUGGUCUUCUUCUCAUUUUGUGGCGCAUUGCGAAUAUGUUCGACAAAGAAGUAGUUCUCACAACAUUGUGUGCUAACAUAGUUGCCUGUGCAAUUGCACAGGCAAGGAUAGACUGCGUACAGCAUUUUCAGGAUGAGGACUAAUUUUUUUUAUUUGCAGGAUCAGUAGCUUUAUUGGUGGUUCAGUGAUAGGGAGUUCCAUUGCUAGCUGGAAGUCCAUACUCAGUGGUGGAUGUUGCAUCUUUGCAAUCCACCUAAUCCUGCACUUCCGCUGGAACCUGAUGAACAAUCACCUUUGAUAGGGAAGAAGGCAGCUUAACAAAAAGAACGCAGCACUGAUUGCUGCAUAGCUCAAGCAUGUGACUUCAAGUUGAGUGUCAAACUGGCCCGCACUAAAAAUGUAAACCUAAACUUGUUUUUACGACCCCCAGCUUACCUACUCUUGCCCUCUGAGGCUAUUGAAGAUGCACUGAACAACAUCCUUAAGAAAAUUCCUGUGACUCAUCAACAGACUUGUGCUACAUAUUUUUUUAGAAUUGCCCAACAGAUUACCAGCAAACAUAAAGAUGAUGAAUAUUAUCUUAGAUGGGAUCCUGAUACAGCAGGAAUCAUUCAUUCUAGAAACAUCAUUCAGAUUGUAGAGCUGUAUCUGCAAGCUUUGUUAUAGUUAUCCACCACGUUAGAGUGUUCGCAUUUAAUGGUGCAGAAUGGUCUUCUUCUCAUUUUGUGGCGCAUUGCGAAUAUGUUCGACAAAGAAGUAGUUCUCACAACAUUGUGUGCUAAC